GGGGCUGUAGCUUAGCUGGGAGAGCGCCGCCCUUGCACGGCGGAGGUCAGGGGUUCGAAUCCCCUCAGCUCCACCG
rnacentral:tRNA from 1 species